UCAGGAAUUGUGUGAAUAACCGUCGUCGUUGCUUUGCCUUUGCCGUUCUGCAUGCUUGCUUUCCUGCAUGGUAUCCAGUCACGAUUCAUUAUUGCUUUGGAAGUCCCACUUCAUACCGUCUAUAGGGAUUGUUUGUGCAUUGUAAUAUGCUAAACAAAAUACGCUAACUAAACUUGUGUUAAAGGCAGUUUGCAUGGCGAACCAGAAAACCUGUCUGUGACCAUGAGUGAAUCUAAAUAGCGUAUACAAUUGAUCACAAAGUCAACGUAAAUACUACCGAAAAGUACUAAAGUACAAUAUUUUGGUAAAAUAUUGUGAUUAUUAAUUGAGGUCAUUUUGCAGGGAUAAAAUUCUUUAGAAAUUUAAUUCAAAGGCAGGAUCAACUGCAUGAGUAAAUGCAUAUAUCUAUGCGCUUAUAAAAAAUCAGGGUGUAUCCUGUUUGUUCAGAUUGACCAACCUUCGCUUCUUCGUUAUAGCCUUUGCAGGUACAGGCUGUUCUUGUCACAGUUGUUUGUGUUUGGAGCAACAAAGCUUUACAAGGUAUAGGUAAUAUCAUUUAAUUGUUUGCACUGCAAGCUUAAAUUUGUUUUGAGUUUAAUCUCUGGUUAUGUGGUUUCAACAAAGCGGCUGCCUCGUGAAUAGAUUUCACUUCAUCUUAGAUCUGUCUCUCAGUGCAUUGAACUUUGUCUUGUUAAGUCUCGGUCGCGGCUGUUUUAUAAAUCGAUUUCACAUAAAUCUUAUCAUUGGUUCGUCUCACAAGAAACAGACAAGACGGCAAAGUCCAAGGUUUUAUUUCACGAAGUUCAUGACUUAUCGGUUAUACACGAGGUAGUGCAUAGUGGAAUAUUUAACGAUUAAUAAAAAAAUUUAGAUUUGGUUUUGUUUUAGAUCAAUCUAUAAAUCAUAAGUAAGAGUAUAGUGAAGAAUAUUGAGCUAUUCUGUGGACUCAAAAACUUAUUAAUGAGAGCCGAAGUUCGGUGGAGAAAAUAUUUGGCUUGUUAACAUUCACUUGGUCGUUUUCUCUUGAGGAGUGCACGCACUGCACUUAUCAGAAUAUUUAUACUCAUCACCAUGCAGAAGGAUUUAUUUAUGAAUUAUGGGAAAGGUUGCCUAGCGCUGCACAUGCUAUUUCAUUGUAUCGGUAUUACCAUGCAGAAGGGUUUAUUUAAGGAAAGUUUGCUUAUAGUACUUUAAAAGACUAUAACAUUUUCUCAUGAACAGGUAGAAAAUGGCGGCUUACCUAAAGCUACCUGCAGCUCACAAACAUACGUUGUACUUCUUGGAAUCAACCAAACUUUCUGCCGCUAAGGGUUUAUCAUGUUGGACAUGUGAUGCGUGCAAAAGAACAUCAAAAGAGAUGCAAUGGACUCAUUCCUACCGAUGCAUGGAUUGUGAUCUUGACAUUUGUGAGGAAUGUUCAAAACCAAUCAAGACUACUACUCAUCCUCACAGAUUCGUCGUCAGUGAUGCAAAGGCGAUUUAUCCCAAUGGAAAAUGGGGGUGUGAUAACUGUGGCUGUAAUUACAGUAGUCAGGGAUAGUAAGUAUGCUCAGUAAUAACGUAAAUAAUCUUUAAAGCGGAGUUAAACAAUACCUAGAACACUGCAAAGAAACCAGAGUAAAAACUUCACUGUAAAUUUCAAGAGUUGAUCAACUCCAAAAAUGUUACUCUGUCACCAAGAACGGUGACUGGAACUUACAGUGUUGAAUAAAAUAAUUUGCCCACAGUGACCCAAAAAAUUGAGUGAAUUACUCAUAAAUAAUUUGAAUGAGUAAUUAUACUCAAUAUUUUGAGUUACUGUAUAUAAGUUUUUAAGUCAAGAUACUAUAAUCCUGGCCAAAGGCUAUCGACCAUGGCAAACUGUGAUGAAUUACUUAUUACGUCCAUGUUGUACAUAAGUGGGACUGCACCAGCCUUAUAAUAUACCUUAUAAAAAAAAUUAGGAAAAGCAAAUACCUUACUGACUCGCUGCCGUUUAGAUUUGAAACUAGUUACCUGCAGGACACACUAUUAAAAACAGGUUUACUUCCUCUGUCUUACUGGCACGAGUACCUGGACUUGGUGUAUCUCUUUAAGGCAAUUAAGUUGAAUGACUCAUGCAUGAGUCGAAAUUUUGCUACUCUUGUGAGCGGCGGGCGUAAUAGAAGCACUCUUCUUAUCGUUUCAGAAAAAAUUCUAAUAAAACUGCAUAUUGCAGGAAUGACAUAAAUGAAAUGCACAUGCAUUAGUACUAUAACAAAUCUUUCUCCAAUAAUUCGAUCUGUUGAAUGCCUCUAUUUGUUUCAUCUUUAGUUUACCCUGGCAUUGUGAAGAGGGAUGCUUCUUUGACAUUUGUUUUGGUUGUACACGAAGCCACAAGAGUCAUGCACACCCUCACCCCUUGAAGAAAGCAAACUCGAAACUGCUGUAUCCCAAAGUGACUUACUGGAGAUGUGAUCGUUGUCAAGCAACAUCCAUGCAUGAUGCCCAGGACAAACCUUACCAUUGCACAAAAUGUACAUUUAAUCU
rnacentral:lncRNA from 1 species